rnacentral:rRNA from 1 species
AUGCACGCUGGCGGCGUGCCUAAUCCAUGCAAGUCGAGCGAACAGACGAGGAGCUUGCUCCUCUGACGUUAGCGGCGGACGGGUGAGUAACACGUGGAUAACCUACCUAUAAGACUGGGAUAACUUCGGGAAACCGGAGCUAAUACCGGAUAAUAUAUUGAACCGCAUGGUUCAAUAGUGAAAGACGGUUUUGCUGUCACUUAUAGAUGGAUCCGCGCCGCAUUAGCUAGUUGGUAGGGUAACGGCUUACCAAGGCAACGAUGCGUAGCCGACCUGAGAGGGUGAUCGGCCACACUGGAACUGAGACACGGUCCAGACUCCUACGGGAGGCAGCAGUAGGGAAUCUUCCGCAAUGGGCGAAAGCCUGACGGAGCAACGCCGCGUGAGUGAUGAAGGUCUUCGGAUCGUAAAACUCUGUUAUUAGGGAAGAACAAAUGUGUAAGUAACUAUGCACGUCUUGACGGUACCUAAUCAGAAAGCCACGGCUAACUACGUG